rnacentral:tRNA from 1 species
GGAGAGGUGUCCGAGCGGCCUAAGGAGCGCGACUGGAAAUCGCGUAGUCGGGCAUUCCCCGGCUCGAGGGUUCAAAUCCCUCCCUCUCCG